rnacentral:lncRNA from 1 species
GCGGAGCUCCCAUUUAGGGGUCACAGGAUCAAGAGAAACGUGCCACAAGCUGGAGGCUGUGCAAAACUGGCAGCAAACAUCUCUGGGGAGAGCCCUGCACACAGCCACCCCAACCUCUGGCACCACCACUCUGAUCAGUCAGCAGCCAUCAACAUCUAGUUGAGACCCUCCACUAGCAAAGAGAUUAUGACUCACUGAAGGCUCAGAUGAUCAUGAAUAGUUUUCAGAAAUAAAGUACUUUUAAAUUCAGAUGGAGUCUUGCUCUGUUGCCCAGGCUGGAGUGCAAUCUCAGUUCACUGCAACCUCUGCCUCCUGGGUUCAAGCGAUUCUCCUGCCUCAGCCUCCUGAGUAGCUGGGAUUGCAGCUAAAAUGCCACCAGGUGAUCGGAAUUUUUCAGCUCCAUUAAAAUCUUAUGAGACCAUCAUUGAAUAUGUGGUCCGUCAUUGACCAAAACAUCAUGAUGCAGCUCAUGACUAUAGUUCUAACUGUCUCAGAAGAUCCAGGAAAAAGCAGGUUCCUCCGAGGCCGGAAGCCCAUUCAGUAUCUUAGCCAAUGGCAUGUCUUAUAGAUAGAUACAAAUAGCGCAGCCUUUUGCGGAAGAAAUGAUAUCUUGUUUCCUUUGCCAGGAACUGUGUUCUUGCAACAGUAAUAUAAAUGUGUAGCCCACAUUAGGUACUCAAACAACUUGUCAUUUGUUUGAAAAGGAGCCCUCUAUUUGACUAGAGGAAACAGGAGCCAAAUGAGCUUGAUUCCUUCUUAUGCCAGCCAGCAAUGCAAUUACAAGAAUGGGGACUGGGGAAGGACAAAUUGAUCAGUCACCCAUGCACAUAGGUGCAGGGGCUAUGUACUUGAAGUGGUUGGUUGUGGUUGGGACCCUGCCUUGAUCUGUUAAUUACAUAUUGCAAAAUGGGAUCUCAUAAGUGACUGUAAUUCAUUGGUAAUUUCUUGAGAAAUUACAAUUUUUGACAGGAAAGUUUUUUUUCUUUGUGUCCCCUGAUAAAUUCUCCUGGUUUGUAAA